GAUGAACGCUGGCGGCGUGCCUAACACAUGCAAGUCGAGCGAAUGGAUUAAGAGCUUGCUCUUAUGAAGUUAGCGGCGGACGGGUGAGUAACACGUGGGUAACCUGCCCAUAAGACUGGGAUAACUCCGGGAAACCGGGGCUAAUACCGGACAACAUUUUGAACCGCAUGGUUCGAAAUUGAAAGGCGGCUUCGGCUGUCACUUAUGGAUGGACCCGCGUCGCAUUAGCUAGUUGGUGAGGUAACGGCCCACCAAGGCAACGAUGCGUAGCCGACCUGAGAGGGUGAUCGGCCACACUGGGACUGAGACACGGCCCAGACUCCUACGGGAGGCAGCAGGAGGGAAUCUUCCGCAAUGGACGAAAGUCUGACGGAGCAACGCCGCGUGAGUGAUGAAGGCUUUCGGGUCGUAAAACUCUGUUGUUAGGGAAGAACAAGUGCUAGUUGAAUAAGCUGGCACCUUGACGGUACCUAACCAGAAAGCCACGGCUAACUACGUGCCAGCCGCCGCAGUAA
rnacentral:rRNA from 1 species